AGCUCAGUUGGUAGAGCGCUCCACUUGUAAUGGAGAGGUCCCGGGUUCGAUACCCGG
rnacentral:tRNA from 1 species